rnacentral:rRNA from 1 species
GACGAACGCUGGCGGCGUGCUUAACACAUGCAAGUCGAACGGAAAGGCCCUGCUUUUGUGGGUUGCUCGAGUGGCGAACGGGUGAGUAACACGUGAGUAACCUGCCCUUGACUUUGGGAUAACUUCAGGAAACUGGGGCUCAUACCGGAUAGGAGCUCCUGCUGCAUGGAGGGGGUUGGAAAGUUUCGGCGGUUGGGGCUGGACUCGCGGCUUAUCAGCUUGUUUGUGGGGUAGUUGCUUACCAAGGCUUUGACGGGUAGCCGGCCUGAGAGGGUGACCGGCGACAUUGGGACUGAGAUACGGACCAGACUCCUACGGGAGGCAGCAGUGGGGAAUAUUGCACAAUGGGCGGAAGCCUGAGGCAGCAACGCCGCGUGCGGGAUGACGGCCUUCGGGUUGUGAACAGCUUUCGCCUGUGACGAAGCGUGAGUGACGGUAAUGGGUAAAGAAGCACCGGCUAACUACGUG